CCGCACGGGUGAGUAACGCGUAUGCAACUUACCUAUCGGAGGGGGACUAACCGGCGAAAGUCGGACUAAUACCGCAUGAAGCAGGGGCCCCGCAUGGGGAUAUUUGCUAAAGAUUCAUCGCUGAUAGAUAGGCAUGCGUUCCAUUAGGCAGUUGGCGGGGUAACGGCCCACCAAGCCGACGAUGGAUAGGGGUUCUGAGAGGAAGGUCCCCCACAUUGGUACUGAGACACGGACCAA
rnacentral:rRNA from 1 species